rnacentral:rRNA from 1 species
GACGAACGCUGGCGGCGUGCUUAACACAUGCAAGUCGAACGGAAAGGCCCUGCUUUUGUGGGGUGCUCGAGUGGGGAACGGGUGAGUAACACGUGAGUAACCUGCCCUUGACUUUGGGAUAACUUCAGGAAACUGGGGCUAAUACCGGAUAGGAGCUCCUACUGCAUGGUGGGGGUUGGAAAGUUUCGGCGGUUGGGGAUGGACUCGCGGCUUAUCAGCUUGUUGGUGGGGUAGUGGCUUACCAAGGCUUUGACGGGUAGCCGGCCUGAGAGGGUGACCGGCCACAUUGGGACUGAGAUACGGCCCAGACUCCUACGGGAGGCAGCAGUGGGGAAUAUUGCACAAUGGGCGGAAGCCUGAUGCAGCAACGCCGCGUGCGGGAUGACGGCCUUCGGGUUGUAAACCGCUUUCGCCUGUGACGAAGCGUGAGUGACGGUAAUGGGUAAAGAAGCACCGGCUAACUACGUG